AUUGAACGCUGGCGGAAUGCUUUACACAUGCGAGUCGAACGGCAGCACGGGGGCAGCCCUGGUGGCGAGUGGCGAACGGGUGAGUAAUACAUCGGAACGUGCCCGGUCGUGGGGGAUAACGUAGCGAAAGUUACGCUAAUACCGCAUACGAUCUGAGGAUGAAAGCGGGGGACCUUCGGGCCUCGCGCGAUCGGAGCGGCCGAUGUCAGAUUAGGUAGUUGGUGGGGUAAAGGCCUACCAAGCCGACGAUCUGUAGCUGGUCUGAGAGGACGACCAGCCACACUGGGACUGAGACACGGCCCAGACUCCUACGGGAGGCAGCAGUGGGGAAUUUUGGACAAUGGGCGCAAGCCUGAUCCAGCCAUUCCGCGUGCAGGACGAAGGCCUUCGGGUUGUAAACUGCUUUUGUACGGAACGAAAAGGCUCUGGCUAAUACCUGGGGCUCAUGACGGUGCCGUAAGAAUAAGCACCGGCUAACUACGUG
rnacentral:rRNA from 1 species